rnacentral:rRNA from 1 species
GACGAACGCUGGCGGCGUGCUUAACACAUGCAAGUCGAACGGAAAGGCCCUGCUUUUGUGGGGUGCUCGAGUGGCGAACGGGUGAGUAACACGUGAGUAACCUGCCCUUGACUUUGGGAUAACUUCAGGAAACUGGGGCUAAUACCGGAUAGGAGCUCCUGCUGCAUGGUGGGGGUUGGAAAGUUUCGGCGGUUGGGGAUGGACUCGCGGCUUAUCAGCUUGUUGGUGGGGUUGUGGCUUACCAAGGCUUUGACGGGUAGCCGGCCUGAGAGGGUGACCGGCCACAGUGAGAGUGAGGUACGGCCCAGACUCAUACGGGGGGCAGGGGUGGGGAAUAUUGCACAAUGGGCGAAAGCCUGAUGCAGCAACGCCGGGUGCGGGAGGACGGCCUUCGGGUAGAAAACCGCUUUCGCCUGUGAGGAAGCGUAAGUGACGGUAAUGGGCAAGGAAGCACCGGCUAACUACGA